CCCUAAUUGCCCUGCCAUGCUCAGCUGUGUGCAAACAAACGUGAAACACGGGCAAGUCAGCACAUGUACCAGUCUCAGAGCCAGACAGUCUGCCUGUCAGUGGUAAAAAAAAAAAAAAAAAAGACCUGUCCUUUUUUAGCUCUGUAGGAGGAGAGACAUGAGGAAGAACCUGCAGAAGAAGAGGAGGAAGUGUCAGAGGAAGAGAACAUCACUGAAAUUGAUGAAGAUUUUGCUCAAACUGACGAGAAGGAAUCAAGCGAUGAAGAGGAGCCUGCUGAAGUUGAAAAUAUUUUCCAAAUAACCCAGGGAAAAUUGAGAGGAUAGUGCUAGAAAUGACCAACAAGGACGGGCGUCGGGUGCAUGGUGACAGUUGGAAGAUGGAUCAAACAGAUCUACAGGGAUACCUGGGUCUUUUCAUUUUCGCUGGUGUCUACCUGUCCAGUAAAUAGACUAUGUCCAGCCUGUGGCAUAUUCAGUCUGGGAGGGCAAUUUUUCAUGCCACCAUGCCACUGAAAAAAUUCCACACCAUCUCAAGAAUAAUUUGUUUUGAUGAUCACGACACCAGACCUGCGCGCCGUUCCAGAGACAAACUGGCUGCCCUCCAACAGGUGUGGGAUAAGUGAGUGUGUCGCCUGUAGCUCAUGUGUAAUCCCGGCACCGAUGUGACAGUGGAUGAGCGCCUGGUCCUAUUCAGAGGCUGAUGUGGAUUCAGGCAAUGUAUGCCAAGUAAACCUGGCAAGUACUGCUUAAAAAUCUGGGUGGUCUGCAAUGCCCAGACCAGCUACACCUGGAACAUGCAGAUGUACACAGACAAACCUGUGGAUGGCCAGCCAGAGAAAAACCAGGGCCAGCAUGUGGUUCUCGAGGUGACAGAGGGUCUUCAGGGACAGACCAUCACAUGCCCCAGAUCAUCCUUGAUUAUAACAAGAACAAGGGGGGAGUCGACAACCUAAACAAGGUCAUCAGUGCACACAGCUGUAAAUGAAUGACAGCCUGUUGGCCCUUGGCGGUAUUCUACAACAUGCUUGAUGUGUCUUCAUACAACUCCUUCAUGCUGUGGAGAGAGAUGGACCCAGACUGGGAUCAGGGGAAGUGCCACUGGAGGAUGACUCUUUUUCUGUUUUUGAUUUUAUUUUUUUUAUUAGGGUUGUGCACAAACACAUUUAAUUUAUCUAAAUAAGCUGAAAACAGUUUUUGGGAAGUUUUGAAAUAAAUGUUGAGCCUUGCAAAUCA